GUCGAGCGAAUGGAUUAAGAGCUUGCUCUUAUGAAGUUAGCGGCGGACGGGUGAGUAACACGUGGGUAACCUGCCCAUAAGACUGGGAUAACUUCGGGAAACCGGGGCUAAUACCGGAUAACAUUUUGAACCGCAGGUUCGAAAUUGAAAGGCGGCUUCGGCUGUCACUUAUGGAUGGACCCGCGUCGCAUUACCUAGUUGGUGAGGUAACGGCUCACCAAGGCAACGAUGCGUAGCCAACCUGAGAGGGUGAUCGGCCACACUGGGACUGAAACACGGCCCAAACUCCUACGGGAGGCAGCAGUAGGGAAUCUUCCGCAAUGGACAAAAGUCUGACGGAGCAACGCCCCGUGAGUGAUGAAGGCUUUCGGGUCGUAAAACUCUGUUGUUAGGGAAAAACAAGUGCUAGUUGAAUAAGCUGGCACCUUGACGGUACCUAACCAAAAAGCCACGGCUAACUACGUGCCAGCAGCCGCGGUAAUACGUAGGUGGCAAGCGUUAUCCGGAAUUAUUGGGCGUAAAGCGCGCGCAGGUGGUUUCUUAAGUCUGAUGUGAAAGCCCACGGCUCAACCGUGGAGGGUCAUUGGAAACUGGGAGACUUGAGUGCAAAAGAGGAAAGUGGAAUUCCAUGUGUAGCGGUGAAAUGCGUAGAGAUAUGGAGGAACACCAGUGGCGAAGGCGACUUUCUGGUCUGUAACUGACACUGAGGCGCGAAAGCGUGGGGAGCAAACAAGAUUAUAUACCCUGGUAGUCCACGCCGUAAACGAUGAGUGCUAAGUGUUAGAGGGUUUCCGCCCUUUAGUGCUGAAGUUAACGCAUUAAGCACUCCGCCUGGGGAGUACGGCCGCA
rnacentral:rRNA from 1 species